AGCCAUCUCGCCUACAGAAAAAGAGUGAGUCGAAUGGCUCUUAUUUGUUCUUGAAAUCGAAUGGCUGUGGUUUCCUGAGGCAGUGACAAUUAAUAAUUGUAUGCAUUGACACUCUCUCUCUAGCCUGCGCACGGCAUCUCUCCCUGUACCUAAACUCUCACCUCGGUGAAACCAUCUCUCUGUAGCUAAACCCUGGCAUCCCUCUCUCUCUCCCUCGUGAGCCUGCUCCCACCCUCUCCAAAUCCCGUGAGCCUGCUCCCACCCUCUCCAAAUCCCGUGAGCCUCCUCCCAUUGUCUCUCUCUCCGAUGAGCCUCCUCACCUCUCUCUCUACUGUGAGCCUCAUCCCUCCCUCCUCUCUCUCUCUCUCUCUCUCUCUCUCUCUUUCUCCCGAGAAUAACAAUCAACCUCCUCGCUCAGCAACCCUAAAUCCCCAAAUUCAACAACCCUAAAUCCCCAAAAUCAGCAACCCUAGAUUCCGUGUACUCUAGAAUCUCUCUCACUGGAAGCCUCCUCCAUUCUCAUCAACUCUAAAUAAAAAAUAGUGGUUGCAAUCAACCAUUCACAGCAAGGGAAAGAUGGAAUCCUUCUCAAGACAUGACACAAUUUUUCUUUGACAUUUGAAAGAUCUUGAUCGGUGAUAAUUACUCCGGGUUGACGUCCACCCAUUGCCUCUGGCCAAUUUUCAAAUACCUAUACAAAAGACUCCACUUUCUCAUCAAAGAUAAGGGUAAACCCAAAAAAUGUUGUGCUAAGGUGGUGAUUCACUCCAACUAUGGGAGCAAAAGGCAUGCCAAAAGCAUUUGUCUUAUAUGUGAUAUCAAAGGUGACCACAUCCGAGAAGUGAUGGUAGAACACCCUUGACAUGGAAUCUACCCAUAGUAGGCUGACAAUGUGAUCUUCUUCAUCUAAUUUUACUUUAUAAAAAAAAGAAGGAUUGGAUCUCUUCAUAUCGAUUAACCAUUCCAUCACACGAUUGCCAUCUUCCCUUUUAAAAUUUUUUCUCUUGAUUCUUAAUUGGUUUCCGAUGUCUUUUUGUGAACAAUGAAGAUUAUCAAUCCCUCCAGCCUGCUCUAAAAAGAUAUUGUAGAUAUUCCGAGAUUUUACCAAAGCAAAGCUCAUGGAGUUUAUCAUUGUC